UGUCCUAACUCCUAAUGUCCCUGUCCGUACAGGGCUGCGUACAAUCCGUAGUCUAUAACACGUGUUUGUUUAUCCUUAACGCUAUCGUCCCAUCAAUUACUUGUUUAACUUCCUCGUUAAAUCUGCACUGAAGAACAAAAUCCCGGAUGGAUUUAAUUUGCUCGACCUGGAAAAAUGUGACGCCAUUGAGAAAAAGACGAGUAAAAUCGACGCCCGAUUCCUGAAGGACGGUUUAAACUGUUUAAUUCGACAUCAACAUGAAAGUGUGGCUGGUUUUGCUGCUUUAGAGCUGGUGAACUACAAUUGUUUUGUUCGCUGCUGAAGAGAGAUAGAUGCCUUUUACAUUCAAUCUUCAGGUUACCAUGAGAGCGGUCCACUCUAAUGGUGGUUGAAGUGGGGUCGGAGCUUCUAAGAAGGUGCAUUCCCGAGUUGCGCCAUCGUUCGUGGUGCAUGGAUCAGUGUCAUUUUGAAUGGGAAUCAAAGCAGGAUGGAGACUGGCGGUUCGUCUCUGCGUCAUAUCACGGCUACGGAGUUUUUGGAUACAUCCGCACUUGGGUGCAAGAACAACCCCCCCUCGUAGGCCUUUUGGCUUUUGUUUCAGGCGUCGGCAUCUAUUACGCUGUCUAACGUCAAAGGCGGGUCAGAACAGCAAAAAGAAAAAGUGUGAUGGUGACAUGCCGUGCGGUCCGAAUGUUGUAAACAUUCGUGUUCGGGAUGACCUGACGCGUUCUCUUCUCCGGUUGCCUUUGUAAUCCUUGGACAAAAGGAAAUUUCAACUGGGACAAAGGCUCCCCUUGAUAGACUUAGGGCUACAACACAUCGUCCAGUCGUGUUCGAAGAAUCCUUAAAAAGGAUUUUCUUCUCCGAUCGCAGGUGCAAGGAUUAUGUGUUUGAAACUUAGAAAAGUUUGCAGUAGAAUAUUAAAAAAAAAAGCCGACUGUCUUUCAAACGGUUCGAAAUGGAAUUCAUUCACCGAAGAAACGAGUCAAAUGACUCAAAUGUGGUAUUUUUAAAGUGACUAAAAUUUAAGCCAUCAUCAUUUAUGAUUUGAUAUUUAUUUUGAUAUUGGUUUUUGUAGACCCAUUCCCAGCAACGUCAACCUGCAGAAAGAAA